rnacentral:rRNA from 1 species
CAGCAGCCGCGGUAAUACGAAGGGGGCUAGCGUUGUUCGGAUUUACUGGGCGUAAAGGGCGCGUAGGCGGACUGAUAAGUCAGGGGUGAAAUCCCAAGGCUCAACCUUGGAACUGCCUUUGAUACUGUUUGUCUUGAGUUCGAGAGAGGUAAGUGGAACUGCGAGUGUAGAGGUGAAAUUCGUAGAGAUGUGGAGGAACACCAGUGGCGAAGGCGACUCUCUGGUCUGUAACUGACGCUGAGGAGCGAAAGCGUGGGGAGCGAACAGGAUUAGAUACCCCAGUAGUCCCUGUCUCUUAUAC